rnacentral:rRNA from 1 species
UACAGAGGGUGCGAGCGUUAAUCGGAAUUACUGGGCGUAAAGGGCGUGUAGGUGGAUAUUUAAGUUGGAUGUGAAAGACUGGAGCUUAACUUCAGGGUGUCAUUCAAUACUGGAUAUCUAGAGUACAGUAGAGGGUAGUGGAAUUUCCAGUGUAGCGGUGAAAUGCGUAGAGAUUGGAAAGAACACCGGUGGCGAAGGCGGCUACCUGGACUGAUACUGACACUGAGGCGCGAAAGCGUGGGGAGCGAACAGG